rnacentral:rRNA from 1 species
GACGAACGCUGGCGGCGUGCUUAACACAUGCAAGUCGAACGGAAAGGCCCUUCGGGGUACUCGAGUGGCGAACGGGUGAGUAACACGUGGGUGAUCUGCCCUGCACUUUGGGAUAAGCCUGGGAAACUGGGUCUAAUACCGAAUAGGACCACGCGCUUCAUGGUGUGUGGUGGAAAGCUUUUGCGGUGUGGGAUGGGCCCGCGGCCUAUCAGCUUGUUGGUGGGGGAAUGGCAUACCAAGGCGACGACGGGUAGCCGGCCGGAGAGGGUGACCGGCCACACUGGGACUGCGAUACGGCGCAGACUCCUACGGGAGGCAGCAGUGGGGAACAUUGCCCAAUGGGCGCAAGCCUGAUGCAGCGACGCCGCGUGAGGGAUGACGGCCUUCGGGUUGUAAACCUCUUUCAAUAGGGACGAAGCGCAAGUGACGGUACCUAUAGAAGAAGCACCGGCCAACUACGUG